GAUGAACGCUGGCGGCGUGCCUAAUACAUGCAAGUCGAGCGAACAGAUGAGGAGCUUGCUCCUCUGACGUUAGCGGCGGACGGGUGAGUAACACGUGGAUAACCUACCUAUAAGACUGGGAUAACUUAGGGAAACCGGAGCUAAUACCGGAUAAUAUAUUGAACCGCAUGGUUCAAUAGUGAAAGACGGUUUUGCUGUCACUUAUAGAUGGAUCCGCGCCGCAUUAGCUAGUUGGUAAGGUAAGGGCUUACCAAGGCAACGAUGCGUAGCCGACCUGAGAGGGUGAUCGGCUACCCCAGAACUGAGACACGGUCCAGACUCCUACGGUAGGCAGCAGUAGGGAAUCUUCCGCAAUGGGCGAAAGCCUGACGGAGCAACGCCGCGUGAGUGAUGAAGUUCUUCGGAUCUUAAAACUCUGUUAUUAGGGAAGAACAAAUGUGUAAGUAACUAUGCACGUCUUGACGGUACCUAAUCAGAAAGCCACGGCUAACUACGUG
rnacentral:rRNA from 1 species